AACGCUGGCGGCGUGCCUAACACAUGCAAGUCGAACGAGAAUUUCCGCUUCGGCGGAAAGAGUAAAGUGGCGCACGGGUGAGUAACGCGUGGCUAACCUGCCUUUGAAUCUGGAAUAACCCCGUGAAAACGGCACUAAUACUGGAUAAUGUCCCUUUGGCUUUGUCCUUAGGGAUGAAAGGUGACCUCUUCAUGAAAGUUGCCGUUCAGAGAGGGGUCCGCGUACCAUUAGCUUGUUGGUGGGGUAAUGGCCUACCAAGGCUACGAUGGUUAGCUGGUCUGAGAGGAUGAUCAGCCACACUGGAACUGGAACACGGUCCAGACUCCUACGGGAGGCAGCAGUGAGGAAU
rnacentral:rRNA from 1 species